CUCCCGAUGGUGUAGUUGGCUAUCACGUUCGGCUGUAAUUGUCUAAUUUGCAAUUGAAAUUUCAAAUUUCAAUUUCAGACCAAUAUUACCGAAAGGUCACCGGCUCGAUUCCGGUUCGGGAGA